CAGAGGGUGCAAGCGUCGCUCGGAAUCAUUGGGCGUAAAGGGCAAGUAGGUGGUCUCAUUUGUCUUGUGUGAAAUCCUUGGGCUUAACUCAAGAAGUGCGCAAGAAACGGUGAGACUCGAGUUCUGGAGAGGGUCGUGGAAUUCCCGGUGUAGCGGUGAAAUGCGUAGAGAUCGGGAGGAACACCAGAGGCGAAGGCGGCGACCUGGACAGAUACUGACACUCAACUGCGAAAGCGUGGGGAGCAAACAGGGAUUAGAUACCCUGGUAGUCCACGCUGUAAACGAUGGGUACUAGGUUUGGUGGGUCUUGACCCCCGCGAACCGGAGCUAACGCAAUAAGUACCCCGCUGGGAUACGGUCGCAAGACUA
rnacentral:rRNA from 1 species